UCAGUCCAGACCCUGGGCACCCCCCUUUUGCCAGGAUCGUCCCCACCCAGCCUGGACACAUUGACUGAACUGUUUUCUAGGACACUGGAUUCAGGUCAGGUAUUACCUCCACCAAGAAGCCUUCCCUAAUGUUCUCAGCUUGGAUGAGAUGCUCCUCUUCUGAUAUUCUACAGGUCCUGUUUAUUCCUCUUCUACAGCAGUGCUCACGCUGUGUCACAAGGAUGUACUCAUAUCCUGCUCAUCAUUGCAUGUGAACUACUGGAGAUAACUAUCUAUAUACAUAUAUCACAUCUCCUAAUAUGCGAAGCACAAAGUAGGAACUCAAUAAACAUCAAACAUCCCACUUCCUUGGCAGUGGAUAGCAUGAAACUGUUUAUUGGCACUAACCUACGGAUAGUUAAUCAGACUGAUUGGUUCUCUGUUUCCUUCUUCUGAGAUUUUUACAUGUGAAUAAAAGUAGAUGGACUGAGAA
rnacentral:lncRNA from 1 species